rnacentral:rRNA from 1 species
CAGCAGCCGCGGUAAUACGAGGGGUGCAAGCGUUAUUCGGAUUGAUUGGGUGUAAAGGGUGUGCAGACGGCUUAUUAAGUCACUUGUUAAAUUCUUCGGCCUAACUGAAGGUCUGCAAGUGAUACUGAUGAGCUAGAGGGCGGAAAAGAGAAGUGGAAUUCUCGGAGUAGCGGUAAAAUGCGUAGAUCUCGAGGGAACACCAAUGGCGAAGGCAGCUUCUUGGUCCAUUCCUGACGUUCAUACACGAAAGCGUGGGGAGCAAACAGGAUUAGAUACCCCCGUAGUCCCUGUCUCUUAUACA